rnacentral:RNase_P_RNA from 2 species
UGGAGCGGGUGCAUGAUCGCUGGCCGUUUUUACGGUCAGAGGAAAGUCCGAACUCCGCAGGGCAGGGUGGUUCGUAACGCGAACCGGGAGCGAUUCCGGGAAAGUGCCACAGAAAACAUACCGCCGCAUGUCGGUAAGGGUGAAAAGGCGAGGUAAGAGCUCACCGCUUUCAUGGCGACAUGAAAGGCAGGGCAAACCCCACCCGGAGCAAGACCAAAUAGGAAAACGUCUGAGGGCUGCCCGUCCGAUGUUUUCGGGUAGGUCGCGUGAGGUGCCGGGCGACCGGCAUCCUAGAUAAAUGAUCAUGGCCCUGGUUUUCCAGGGUACAGAAUUCGGCUUAUAACCCGCUCCAAAUU